rnacentral:lncRNA from 1 species
AGAUUUCUGAAGGCCUUUUGUGACAAUAGAAAGACAAAUAUCUCUCCUGGAGUAGAAAGAUUGUCCUCUCUCUGCCAAGAAUAGAGACAAUGGCGAUGGGUCACCUCCGUGGCUUCCUAGUUUCCCUCCUCGUGCAGGUCUGCCUGUUCCUGAUGAUUGCUGCGUCGGUGAAUGUGCAGGGCAGGCCUGUGAACCAGGAGUCGACUCCCGGUUGCUGUCUCACUCCCGUUUGCUGUUUCAACCACCCCGAGUGCUGCCAGGGCGCCAUUCCCUGACGGCCCACCUCUGAGUUUGAACUCCUCCCUGUCCCGGCAACCCGUAGGCCGUAGUGUAUCAUUGACGUGAGCGCACUGAAUCUGUGCGGGUCGGCAUGAUUCUGCUGCUUCUCAUGUCUCUCGAUACGUUUCAGAACUUUGUUAUCUGCUUUCUCUUAUGUCGCUGUACGAUCGCACCUUGGUAAUAAAGUGGGGGGAGAUUGCUGUUGGUUUUUGAGGAGUUCUAUGCAACAGUUCUGUUCAUGCUCGAUUUCUCCAACUUGAUUUCGGC